rnacentral:rRNA from 1 species
AACCUCCGCAAUGUGAGAAAUCGCGACGGGGGGAUCCCAAGUGCCAUUCUUAACGGGAUGGCUUUUCUUAAGUGUAAAAAGCUUUUGGAAUAAGAGCUGGGCAAGACCGGUGCCAGCCGCCGCGGUAACACCGGCAGCUCUAGUGGUAGCUGUUUUUAUUGGGCCUAAAGCGUUCGUAGCCGGUUUGAUAAGUCACUGGUGAAAUCCUGUAGCUUAACUGUGGGAAUUGCUGGUGAUACUGUUGAACUUGAGGUCGGGAGAGGUUAGCGGUACUCCCAGGGUAGAGGUGAAAUUCUGUAAUCCUGGGAGGACCACCUGUGGCGAAGGCGGCUAACUGGAACGAACCUGACGGUGAGGGACGAAAGCUAGGGGCGCGAACCGGAUUAGAUACCCGGGUAGUCCUAGCCGUAAACGAUGCGGACUUGGUGUUGGGAUGGCUUUGAGCUGCUCCAGUGCCGAAGGGAAGCUGUUAAGUCCGCCGCCUGGGAAGUACGGUCGCAAGACUGAAACUUAAAGGAAGU